CGUUACGAAAUAUCGGCAACAUUUCAAUUUUACAAUGCGAAAGAAUGGACCUUGGUCUUUUUAAACUGAUCAUUUGUGAACUAUCGUGUGUUUUUUGUUUGUUUACUUAUACAAUUAUAAGGAGCGUCUCGUUAAUGUACAGUAGGUAACAGGGUAAAAGGUUUCAAUAUUGCGGAAGGAAAGGUGAAAGCUUUACCAGUGCCUGCUGUGGGAUAUCGUUUUCGUAGCUAGUAGUAUACUAUAUUUGUUCGACCUCCAAUUGGAAUUCUUGGCCAGAUUCAAGGUAAAACUCUGAAUUGGACCUCAGCUAUUCCAGGUGACUUGAGAAAAGGAGAAGAGCUGUACGUUUAGUUUUAAAUCUUGGUUUCAAAACAAAAACAUUUUUUGACCAAUUUUUAAUGUCUUUUUGGGGUUCUUUCAAUCCUGUUCAUAGUUUUUAAACUAUAAUUUACUAUGUGUCUAUAUAAGUAUAAAUCAUUACAAAAAAUAGGGGCGACACCGAUAUCACUUUUUUUUCAGAUUGAGUAUGAGUACGAGCAUAAGUGGUUACAUUUGAGUACCUGCCGAUAACGAGUAUUAAUACUUCAUCAUGGCAUUAUGUCUUGCAAUUGUGAUGAAAAUGUUUUUUUAAUCAAAUAUUGUUCCAAAACACAACCUUUUUUUAAAAUAGCACAGGUUUGACACAAAUAUAACACUUUUUAGAGUGAUAGCUUAUUUCUGACAUUUUAACACCCAGCUGCAUGUAUUCCCCCAUAUACAUAGUCUUGCCACACAUUCAGUAAAAUGUAGCCUGUAACACAAGGUAUUUCAGUUAUGUCAUGUCUCAGUCUGAACACUAGUGGGUGCCAUGUAAAAGCAGUAUAUAGUUCCGAGACAAAGAAGAACAGAGAGCCUGGUGGAUAUACAAGUAGGAAUACUGAUGCCCUGUUAGCUCUACAGUAUGUGCCAACUCCAAAAUGAAGUGUGUAAAAAGAAAUGUAAGACUGCAUCUUGAGAAUACCACAAGUUACGAAAGAAAACUGUGGCAGGACAACUAAAGUACAACUUUAUCACAUCAUCAGUUACUUCUCCUUACUCGCCGCGGUUAGGAUAACAGGGCGGGAAAUCAGGCGGCUUGCUCUGCCUCAGUCGCCGUGAAGAGCAUAAUUUGCUGUCGGCUAAAUGUGUUGUCAUCCGUGUUUACCGUAAAUAUCUCCACACAGCUGACUUGGCUCCUGCCCAGAAGAGAUACGAAGUGGUAUCGGUAGCAUAAUAUCGGAGCAUUUUUACAAGUACAGUGUAGACAGUACAGGAUCGUAAUAAAAAAAAAUUGAAGUUGUCCAAAUUCUAGGGACUUUACCUUUUAUUGUAUUAAAAUGUCUUAAUUUUUUACUCACACAAUUCGUUACAUAUUUUUUAUUGUCCGCUGACGUAACGCUAAUGUAGGUUCAUUCGUUAUUUAAAUAUCAUUCCUUUUUAAACAUAAUUUACCAAUGGAUAGGACUACAAAUUGUUUCCAAAAGCAUGUGAAAAUGUUCUGGGCUUACUCUUUUAUAACAAACAAACAAACAUAACAAUCUAAUGAUAGAUUAAUUUGGUUUCUUCUAGUUUCUAGUGCAUGGUUUCUUGUAUGUUAUAAAUAAUAAAUAAAUAAAUGUACUCUUUGCAUGUAUUUGUUUCCUUUUUAUUAUCAAAAAACACAAUAGGCAACUAUAUACAUACAUUUACAACUGUUAGGAAAAGUGUACGGUUGGGAUUGUAGCGCGAUGGUUAAAUGUGUGGCUACCGCGGUAUGUGAACUGGCUGCACUGUCUGAAACAGAGGAGAAAUUAGAAAAGUAGUCCAUUGGCGUCCCUUCAUUGACAAAGUUGCUUCAGAUGUGGCCCAUGAACAUUGCAGUUAUAGUAGUUGGAGGCGUAACCGACAUGAAGACCAGAGAGCUUAGUGCGGCUGGAAAAGGAGCUUGAGGGUUAUGACUGCACCCAGAAUCAGACACCAGAGACACUGUGGGCCUAACAAUGCAAUUUUUAACAAACGAUUCCUGAGAGUGCGCUCCAGAGUGGUCACGAGUUGGAGAGACAGUGUUCUUCAAACGUGGGGGUCGGGGGGGGUUCACAUGCUGAACACCGAAGAGCCCAUAAAGUCCAAAAAGUGACUGUCAUCCAGCCCCGAACGGAAGCCGCUGAAUGUCGGGAGAUGGAGGUCGUUCCAGUGGCUGUCCGCCGACAUGGUGAACUCCGAACUCAGCGUUGUGUACUGUGGCGACAGCCGCAGUUCGUCCACGUCGUCGGCUGUUCAAAGAAGAGGAGGCGCACAAUCAGGAUCUUGAAGGACACAUUAUUACCUCAAAGAUGGCGCCUGAAAUUUCCAAAUUAAAAACAAUCGAGGACUACGACGCCAGUUCCAUUAAAUACAGUGAACCCCAAAACUGUUAUCCCUUCCGAUACUUUUUAAACACUUUGUAAAUGUAUCUAAAAACAAAAAAAGGAAAAUUGCAACCAUAAAAUUUAUUUUAAAAAUACUGUAUCAAUGUUGUGUCUGUGUGUUAUUUGCCUUUAAGAGGCGGGGCCUGGUAGCGUGCCGGUGGACGUCUGCGUGUAAGUGUCCGGGAGUGAGCUGUGGCCGUCAGCAGCUCCUGCUUGAGUGUGCUCAUUGUGUUUAUGUGUUUUAUUGUUCUUUAAUAACGAGUGUUCAAACCACAAUAAAAAAAAUACACUUUUGGACUUUGGACCGAUUAUCACAUUGCGAAGUAGGACGAACGGGGCCAUAACUGGCGAGUUCUGUUUACCUGAACAUUCGCUCCACUGGCUCCCUGGACUGGUGCAUGUACUCAGCAUCCCCUUGACAUCAUAACUGGUCUUGAAGCUCUGCGAGUCUCUCUCCAGUUGCUUGCAAAUCUAACAAAGAAACACCAGAGUUUAGCGUGAUCACACUGUUUGUCUUCAGCCGGGCUGUCUUUGACCAACGCGGGCGAUGGAAAAACGUGCCUGGUAUGUUGCUCACCUCUACUAUGUCGUACUCAUACUCUGGAGGGAGACCGGUCAUGGGGGGGCGGGUGGAGAGAGAUAGAAGGUGGAAUGAGCAUACAUUUUUAUUUUAUUAAGAUUGUCCAAAAGUAGAACCAAAUGUAAUAUUUAGAAAAGUGGAGGCAUGCGUUGGAAAGGAGAGGAAUGAAGGUUAGCCAAAGAAAGAGGGGUGGAUGUGGAGAACAAAGUUGGAAAGAGCAGACUUCGAUGGUUUGGACACAUCCAGAGGAGAGAGAAAGUGAGUAUAUUGGUAGAAGGGUGAUGAGGAUGAAGCAGCCAGGCAAGAAAUCUUAAGGAAGACCUAAGAGAAGGUUGACGGAUGUUGUGAGGAAAGACGUGAGGGCAGUUUGUGUUAGAGAGGAGGAUGCAGAAGAUAGGCGAGAUGAAAAAGAAGGACAGUGGCGACCCUGAAAGGGACAAGCCGAAAGGCAAAGA